ACAAUGGCGUAAACAAAGGGAGGCGAAGCCGCGAGGUGGAGCAAAUCCCAAAAAUAACGUCUCAGUUCGGAUUGUAGUCUGCAACUCGACUACAUGAAGCUGGAAUCGCUAGUAAUCGCGAAUCAGAAUGUCGCGGUGAAUACGUUCCCGGGUCUUGUACACACCGCCCGUCACACCAUGGGAGUCAGCAACGCCCGAAGCCGGUGACCCAACCGAAAGGAGGGAGCCGUCGAAGGUGGGGCCGAUAACUGGGGUGAAGUCGUAACAAGGUAAC
rnacentral:rRNA from 1 species